rnacentral:rRNA from 1 species
UACAGAGGUCCCGAGCGUUGUUCGGAUUCAUUGGGCGUAAAGGGUGCGUAGGUGGCGCUGUAAGUGGGGUGUGAAAUCCCGGGGCUUAACCCCGGGACUGCAUUCCAUACUGCGGUGCUUGAGGACUGGAGAGGAGACUGGAAUUUACGGUGUAGCAGUGAAAUGCGUAGAGAUCGUAAGGAAGACCAGUGGCGAAGGCGGGUCUCUGGAAAGCUGCUGACGCUGAGGCACGAAGGCCAGGGGAGCAAACAGG